UCAACUAAAUAAUGUAAUUGAAGAUGUACCUGCAUCUAAAGCAGAUUCUGUCCCAUUCACAAAGCUUUAUGUCCAUCAUUUUUCAUUAUGGUUUGAGAGAAAUAGCCACCACAAAUCACCUAUAUAUGUGUAUGAUGAGAUUUCUCAUAAGUUCGUGUAUGAUGUCAAUACAAAACAGUGGAAGAGAAACACUGUUCCAAUUGGUCAGACUCAUAAUGUGAAGAAGUUGUUUCAAUAUUUAAUCAAAGGAGACAGAAUCACAAGUGGAAGAAAGAGGAUCAAAAUAGGUCA